rnacentral:vault_RNA from 1 species
GUGGAGGUUUAGUUCAGUGGUUACUUCCUAACUGUUGUCAGUAAUUCUAACCUCACCCGGUUCGCGUCCAGCGUUCCCCGAGCAUCAAACCACGGGCGCUGUCCUCUGCUUUU